ACACUUGCUAGGAAUUACAAGAAAACCAAGUUAUGUAGUAUCUAUUCUUAUCAGUUCAAUAUCUGAUACAUGGCCCAUCGGGUCACAUGAUUUUAAAUUAAUUUCUUAUGGGGGAUGGUCCACCACAGCAGCUUGCUGCUGGGAUCAUUGAGCGUCACCUUUGCAUUGCACUAUUGCAUGGGCCUAGCGCACCCUUC